AGGAAAAUAGCUCAGUUGGUUAGAGUGAUGGUCCAUCAUGCCAGAAGUCAUGGGUUUGAACCUAUUUUCCCUG
rfam:Triticum urartu cultivar G1812 contig197560, whole genome shotgun sequence.